CCUACGGGUGGCAGCAGUGAGGAAUAUUGGUCAAUGGCCGGAAGGCUGAACCAGCCAAGCCGCGUGAAGGACGAAUGUGCCAAGCAUUGUAAACUUCUUUUAUCAAGGGACAAAAUCAUGCUCGAGAGCGUGACCGAGGGUACUUGAAGAAAAAGCAUCGGCUAACUCCGUGCCAGCAGCCGCGGUAAUACGGAGGAUGCGAGCGUUAUCCGGAUUUAUUGGGUUUAAAGGGUGCGUAGGCGGGCUGUUAAGUCAGCGGGUAAAGGUUGGGGCUCAACCCCGGGGGGGCAGUUGAACUUGGCUGUCGUGAGAUGUCGAGAGGUAUGCGGAAUGCGUAGUGUAGCGGUGAAAUGCUUAGAUAUUGCGAAGAACUCCGAUUGCGAAGGCAGCACACCGGCGGCGAUCUGACGCUGAGGCACGAAAGCGUGGGUAUCGAACAGGAUUAGAUACCCUGGUAGUC
rnacentral:rRNA from 1 species